rfam:Larimichthys crocea isolate SSNF unplaced genomic scaffold scaffold354, whole genome shotgun sequence.
CCUUCGAUAGCUCAGUUGGUAGAGCGGAGGACUGUAGGUGCAAACAGCAGUGAUCCUUAGGUCGCUGGUUCGAAUCCGGCUCGAAGGA